rnacentral:tRNA from 2 species
GGUCUUUUAGCUCAGUUGGCUAGAGCACUACCUUGACAUGGUAGGGGUCACAGGUUCGAGUCCUGUAAAGACCACCA